UCGCUAAUGGAAAAGCUUGAUUAAUUUACCGUGUUGCGUUUUUAGGAGCUAGUCUUUCAACGAAACGCGGUACGUGUCUCUCUCGUGGCUUGACUACAUAGACAUCUCUCACGAGGCAAGCGGCUAUCGGCGGUGCCUAUUCGUUUACGUCUACGAAAACAUGUGAAGCUCGUUUGGUCGCGCCGGAUUAUAUCCAUCAGGGUGCGACACCGACCAUGGACUCACGGGACGCCUGGCCGCAUAGCUACGUGUCGGCCAGUACAGCGGCAGCAGCUCGCCGUGUGAAGAUUCCCACACUGACGUUGUAAAGCGACCGAUGAACGUUGGAUAAACUAUGAACGCUCGAUUAAACCAAUGGCAUUAUCGACGAGCGCGCCUUUAUUCGAUUAUGCGAUUACACGCAAAGCGCAUGAUUAUUCCGCUUCCACGAAUAAGCCUACGUUCGCGUACUUAUGCUGCGAUUCUUCGUCUGCAUCUACUGUAGGGAAACCGCAGCCGCGAAAGUCUCGCGCGCAGAGUUAAAUUUCCGAGGAAGCAGCAAUGCUGGCGUGAGUGCGCAGAUUCCCUCGAGGCAGCCUGCUAGAGAACACUCACCAGUGACCCACAGCACGCGCUGCUCCGCCAAGCUGAAGCAAACAGCUGGUGAUUACCGCACGGGCAGCUGGCCAAGCUGACCAUUAGUGAGCCGACUGAAGCCACCAGCUGAAACUGUAACGACGGGAUAUAUUUUAAGUCCGAUCAACAGAUCGCCAUGGAGCCCGUGAUGAUGUUGCUAGUGCUGAUCAUCGUAGUUACAGCUGUACUCGUGUUUUUUGCCUGUACUUGAGAACACGUGCUUAAAUACACUCGCACACACGUGGGUGGCUGAUGACGAUAGGCAAUAUCUAUGUAUGUUCUGUUUAAAAAUCCAUUUGUAUUUGCAGAAGCUGGCACUUACGGCUCUGCAGGGAACAACCUUGUAUUAAUGUGUGUGGCUCUACAUGUGCAUACAAAAACCAUCAGCCAUCAAAUUUUUAUUUACGUUUGAAUUAAAGCGCAAUAAAUGUAGUUCAGACCAACCUAACAGUCAAAGAAAAACAAAGUGUUUCUAUAUUUAACUCUCUGUAUUAAAAUCACUAAAGUGCUAAUUAUCUCGACAACA